CAUCUGGAGCAGUGGUCGCCAACCUUUCGGACCCCACAGACCACCAGUGGUCUGCGGACCACCGGUUGGCAACUGCUGAUUUGGAGCACUUCCAGAGCCUGAAGUCAGGCAAGGCAAAAACCACCUGGAUGGCAAAGGUCUGCCUGCGAAAGAUGACCUCCCCAGCAUGAGGAAAUGACUCAGCACAGGAAACUGGAGUGUCUGCCUUCUGAGCCUUAACCCCAGAGGCCCCAACCCUGGCUUCUGCUCACACGACUCCAGUCUACUCUGCCUUCCCACUGCGGGACACAAGAAGACUGGGCACGUGUGGCCAUUAUCCUUCCUCAUCAGCACUGGAUGUUUGCCGGCUCCAAGGGCGUGAGUGCACAUACUGCACCCCUUUCCC